AUUGAACGCUGGCGGCAUGCUUUACACAUGCAAGUCGGACGGCAGCACAGAGAAGCUUGCUUCUUGGGUGGCGAGUGGCGAACGGGUGAGUAAUAUAUCGGAACGUACCGAGUAAUGGGGGAUAACUAAUCGAAAGAUUAGCUAAUACCGCAUAUUCUCUGAGGAGGAAAGCAGGGGACCUUCGGGCCUUGCGUUAUUCGAGCGGCCGAUAUCUGAUUAGCUAGUUGGUGGGGUAAAGGCCUACCAAGGCGACGAUCAGUAGCGGGUCUGAAAGGAUGAUCCGCCACACUGGGACUGAGACACGGCCCAGACUCCUACGGGAGGCAGCAGUGGGGAAUUUUGGACAAUGGGCGCAAGCCUGAUCCAGCCAUGCCGCGUGUCUGAAGAAGGCCUUCGGGUUGUAAAGGACUUUUGUCAGGGAAGAAAAGGCUGUUGCUAAUACCGACAGCUGAUGACGGUACCUGAAGAAUAAGCACCGGCUAACUACGUG
rnacentral:rRNA from 1 species